GAGGAGCGGGUUUUUCCCGUCCCAUGAGGUGAUUCCAGAGACUUGAGAGUUUCUGGCCUUCUUGCUCCGCUCAGAGUGGACACCUCUAGUGGGGCUCCCUGACCCGAGAGGGUUGCCUCAGGAGCUGCAGGGUGUGCCCUAUGUGAUGAAAGGAUCCACUCUCAGGGAAGGCACAGCCAUGGCUUCCCCACUGCCCCAGGAUAUGGAGGAGGAGCUGGCGCCUGUUGGCUCCGAGCCAGGUGACCCACGAGCCAAGCCCCCUGUCAAGCCCAAACCCCGGGGCUUGCCCAGCAAGCCAGCUCUGCCUGCCAAACCCAGCCUCCUGGUGCCUGUUGGGCCUCGCCCUCCUCGGGGUCCCCUGGCUGAGCUGCCUUCUGCCCGGAAGAUGAACAUGCUGGCAGGACCUCAGCCCUAUGGGGUCAGCAAGCGUCCCCUCCCGUUUGCACCAAGGCCUUCAGCUGAAGCAACCGCUGGAGGAGACGUUACCCAAGAGUCUGGGAAGGAGGAUGCUGGGAAAGAAGACUUGCCCCCUCUCACACCCCCAGCUCGGUGCGCUGCCCUGGGAGGUGUGAGGAAGGCCCCUGCCCCUUUCCGUCCCUCCUCUGAGCGGUUUGCAGCCUGUACAGUAGAAGAAAUUUUGGCCAAGAUGGAGCAGCCACGGAAAGAGAUCCUGGCCAGCCCUGACCGCCUCUGGGGCUCCCGCCUCACUUUUAACCACGAUGGCAGCUCUCGAUAUGGCCCCAGGACCUAUGGUGCCCCCUGCCCCAGAGAGGAGGAUAGUAAGUCCCCUGCCAAAGGACGGUCCCAGGAGGGGACAGCAGAGAUUCCUGCAGAGUGCCAGGAAGAGCAUAGCAAGACUCCUGAGGAGAGGAACCUCACUUCCAGCCCGGCAAUGAAUGGGGACCUAGCUAAACUGGCUUGCUCUGAAGCACCUACCGACGUGAGUUGUCUUCAUGUUGUUUCCAAGACCUGGGUCACCUCAAGUGCAGACCCUGUUUCAGAGCAUGGCGGCUCUACCAGUGCAGUCCGCCUGGCUAACAUCUCUGUCCCAGCCUCGGAGUCUCCCCGGCUUUCAAGCCGCCCGAGUUCUCCCUGCCAUUCUCAACUUUCAGAAACCCAAAGUCCUGCAGCUUCUGAGGCUUCUUCCAUCUGCCUCCCUGUGACUCCAGCCUCCCCCAGUGCAGUCUUGCCUGCUGAGCCUCCCGGCCAUUCUCCUAGCUCAGAGUUACCUGCUGAGGCAGCCCCAGAAACCCUCAGCCCCAACAGCUCUCCUGUGGAGACAGUCUCAGGGCACCACAGCCCAGAGCAGCCCCCAGUCCUCUUGCCUCAACUCCUGACUGAGGGGGCUGAGUUGCCGGACAUUACACGAACGUUCCCCUGUGGGGAGGAGGCAGCAGCCAGGGGUCACACGGAAUCUCGUCCCAGCAGCCUGGCUCAGCGUCGUUUCUCAGAAGGCGUGCUCCAGCCACCUAGCCAGGACCAAGAGAAGCUGGGAGGCUCGCUGGCUACUCUGCCCCAAGGUCAGGGGAGCCAAUCUGCUUUAGAUCGUCCCUUCGGAAGCGGGACAGAGUCUAAUUGGAGCUUGUCACAGUCAUUUGAGUGGACCUUUCCCACAAGGCCCUCAGGUCUGGGCGUGUGGCGGCUGGACUCCCCACCUCCAUCUCCCAUUACAGAAGCCAGUGAGGCCGCAGAGGCUGCUGAAGCUGACAGUUGGGCUGUAUCUGGCAGGGGGGAAGGUGUGUCCCAGGUGGGACCAGGAACCCCACCAGCUCCAGAGAGCCCCAGAAAGCCUAUUUCUGGGGUUCAGGGAAAUGAUCCAGGCAUAUCCCUACCCCAGAGAGAUGAUGGAGAGAGUCAGCCUCGGUCCCCAGCUCUUCUUCCCUCUACAGUUGAGGGCCCACCUGGAGCACCCUUACUGCAGGCAAAGGAGAACUAUGAGGACCAGGAGCCACUAGUGGGGCACGAGUCCCCCAUUACUUUGGCUGCAAGGGAGGCGGCCUUACCUGUGCUAGAGCCAGCGCUGGGACAGCAGCAGCCAACACCCUCUGACCAACCCUGCAUCCUCUUUGUGGAUGUGCCCGAUCCUGAGCAGGCAUUGUCUACUGAGGAGGACGUGGUGACCCUAGGCUGGGCGGAGACGACCCUGCCCAUGACAGAGGCUCAGGAACCCUGUAGUGUGUCUCCUGAGCCUACAGGCCCUGAAAGCAGUUCUCGAUGGCUGGAUGACCUCCUAGCAUCACCACCACCCAACUCGGGCAGUGCGCGGCGGGCAGCUGGAGCUGAGCUAAAGGAUAGACAGUCACCAAGCACCUGCUCUGAGGGACUCCUUGGCUGGGCCCAGAAAGACCUGCAGAGUGAAUUUGGGGUUGCCACAGACUCACACCACAGCAGUUUUGGUUCUUCUAGCUGGUCUCAAGACACUUCUCAGAACUAUAGCCUCGGGGGCAGGAGCCCCGUUGGAGACACAGGUCUUGGGAAAAGAGACUGGAGCAGCAAGUGUGGGCAAGGGUCCGGGGAGGGGAGCACUAGGGAGUGGGCCAGCAGACACAGCCUUGGCCAAGAGGUGAUUGGAAUCGGUGGCAGCCAAGACGAGAGCGAAGUGCCUGUCCGUGAGCGGGCAGUGGGAAGGCCGGCCCAGCUUGGUGCUCAGGGCCUGGAGGCUGAUGCACAGCAAUGGGAAUUCGGGAAGAGGGAGUCCCAGGACCCUCACUCCAUCCACGACAAAGAGCUCCAGGACCAGGAGUUCGGGAAGCGAGAUUCCUUGGGUUCUUUCAGCACCCGAGAUGCAAGCCUUCAAGACUGGGAGUUUGGGAAGAGAGCGUCUGUGAGCACCAACCAGGAUACAGAUGAGAAUGAUCAAGAACUGGGGAUGAAGAACCUCUCUCGUGGCUACAGCAGCCAGGAUGCUGAAGAGCAGGACCGGGAGUUUGAGAAGCGAGAUUCUGUACUGGACAUCCAUGGCAGCCGGGCCACAGCCCAGCAGAACCAGGAGUUCGGGAAGAGUGCUUGGUUCCAGGAUUACAGUAGUGGUGGUGGCGGCUCAAGGGUGCUCGGCUCACAGGAGAGAGGUUUCGGAAUUCGAUCUCUGAGCUCAGGGUUCAGCCCCGAGGAAGCUCAGCAGCAAGAUGAGGAGUUUGAGAAGAAGACCCCAGUUGGUGAAGACAGGUUUUGUGAGGCCAGCAGGGAUGUGGGUCACCUGGAAGAAGGAGCAUCUGGGGGCCUGCUGAGCCCCAGCACACCUCAUUCUCGAGAUGGAGCUGCCAGGCCAAAAGACGAAGGCAGCUGGCAAGAUGGUGACUCCAGCCAGGAGAUCACAAGGCUGCAGGGGAGAAUGCAGGCAGAAAGUCAGAGCCCUACCAACGUGGACCUGGAAGACAAAGAGAGAGAGCAGAGAGGCUGGGCCGGGGAGUUCAGCCUCGGUGUUGCAGCCCAGUCGGAGGCAGCAUUUAGUCCAGGGCGGCAAGACUGGAGCAGGGACGUGUGUGUGGAGGCCUCUGAGAGUAGCUAUCAGUUUGGCAUCAUCGGCAAUGACAGAGUGAGUGGUGCUGGCCUCAGCCCUUCCAGGAAGAGUGGAGGUGGCCACUUUGUGCCUCCCGGAGAGACAAAGGCCGGGGCUGUGGAUUGGACUGACCAGCUAGGUCUCAGGAACUUGGAGGUGUCUAGCUGUGUGAGUUCUGAAGGCCCAAGCGAGGCUAGAGAGAAUGUUGUAGGACAGAUGGGCUGGUCAGACAGCCUGGGCUUGAACAAUGGAGAUCUGGCCAGGCGUUUAGGAACUGGAGAGUCUGAGGAGCCCAGGAGCCUGGGAGUUGGGGAAAAGGACUGGACUUCCAGCGUGGAGGCGAGGAACAGAGAUUUGCCAGGGCAGGCAGAGGUAGGAAGGCACAGCCAGGCCAGAGAGAGUGGUGUGGGGGAGCCCGACUGGUCAGGGGCAGAGGCCGGAGAGUUCCUUAAGUCAAGAGAGCGUGGAGUUGGACAGGCAGAUUGGACACCUGAUCUUGGAUUGAGAAACAUGGCCCCAGGAGCAGGCUGCAGCCCUGGAGAGCCCAGGGAACUUGGGGUGGGUCAGGUAGACUGGGGUGACGAUCUAGGCCUGAGGAAUUUGGAGGUGUCCUGUGACCUAGAGUCGGGAGGCUCUCGGGGCUGUGGAGUUGGGCAAAUGGACUGGGCCCAAGACUUGGGACUCCGGAACCUUAGGCUCUGUGGGGCCCCAAGUGAAGUUAGGGAAUGUGGGGUGGGGAGAGUGGGCCCUGACCUAGAGCUAGAUCCCAAGAGUAGUGGUAGCUUGUCCCCUGGUUUGGAGACUGAAGACCCGUUGGAAGCCAGGGAGCUGGGGGUUGGUGAAAUAAGUGGGCCAGAGACACAGGGUGAAGACAGCUCGUCACCUUCCUUUGAGACUCCUUCUGAAGACACUGGAAUGGAUACGGGAGAAGCACCCAGCUUGGGAGCCAGGUACGGUUCUCCAUCUUGGAGCUGGGAGGGAAGGUGUGACUGUUCUUUAAAUAAGGGGCCUCUCUGAGGAGGGAAACCCAGCUCUCUCAGUGGACUCUAGUGUUUGGAAAACAGAGUCCUUUAGGGCCGUGACUGUUCAGUUCCACGUUUUAUAUUUUAUGAUGAACUUUGAAACACAAAAGUUAAAUGCAUUCUAUUUUAGAAGAUGAAUGUAAAAUUUGAGGCACCAUUUUGGGCUUUCUCAAUGCGUGAGUUAUGGCUGUCUAGGGAAGUAGAACCUGCUACAUCUUUGGUUUCUGGUGAGCUAACACUCUCUCUUUCUCUCUCUCUCUCUCUCUCUCUCUGAGAGUUUGUGUGUGUGCAGGCACAUAUUUACAAGCUUCUGUGCCUGUGGAAUGACACUACCUCUGCUGUCAUCUCUGUCACUGUCUUAUCUUUUUGGGGACACAUUGUCUCACUACUCUGAAACUUGCCAAGUAGGCUAGGUUGGCAGGCCAAGGAGCCCCAGGCGGGUCACCUGGCUUCUGCCUCCCCAAUGCUGGUAUUAUAAGCAUAUACCACUGUGUCUGGCCUUUUUUACUCCCGCAAAGCAAAGCAAAGCAAAGAGAAGACACCGUGGGAUCUGGGGACUGUGCUCAAGUGUUCACUCUUGCAAGGGAAGCACGUCACCAAGUGAUGUAUCUUCCUAGUAUGGUUUCUGCUGAGCUCUGUCGGCUUCAAGCUCUGAUGGAAAAUGAGCUCCUGGAAUGCUUGCACAGGUAGUGGAAGGAACCCUGUGGAAGCCCAGGUUACCGAAGCCUAUGUUAUAGUGGACGGUGACUCUGCUCGUCUGAUCAACGGUUUGGGAACUCAGGAAUCUCGCCUGCUCUUGUCGUAGUACCCAGAAGAGCAGUGGCCGAGGAAUCUGAAGUUGUUGAGAACCAAGUCCCUGCCCUGUGACCUUGACCCCCAACCCUUUUUCUUUUCUUUGCCCUGGCUGACCUCGAGACACUCUAGGUAGGCCAUGCUGGCCUCAAGUUCAGAGAGAUCGGCUUGCUUCUGCUUGCUGAGUGCUGGGAUUAAAGGCAUGCCACGUGGGAGGCAGGCUGCCCCAGCAGUUGUCUGACUCGCUCGCCACCUUCUGGCUCCCAGAGCCUUUUGGAGGGGAUAAUGACAGCCAGCAGCUCUAAGGGAGCUCCUCAGAGGGAAUCAGCAGCUUCCGGCUCCCGGGUUCUGUUGGAGGAGGAAGGACUCGCUGCAGGUGCCGGCCAAGGGGAGCCCCAGGAGCCUAGCAGAGCUCCUUUGCCAUCCUCGAGGCCUCAGCCUGAUGGCGAAGCCAGCCAGGUAGAAGAGGUGGAUGGCACGUGGAGUCUUACGGGGGCGGCUAGGCAAAAUGAGCAGGCAUCAGCCCCGCCCCCCCGGCGGCCUCCCCGAGGACUUCUGCCCAGCUGCCCCAGUGAGGACUUCUCUUUUAUAGAGGACACUGAGAUCCUUGAUAGUGCCAUGUAUCGGAGUCGUGCCAACCUAGGACGUAAGCGGGGGCACCGGGCCCCAGCCAUCCGGCCUGGGGGUACCCUGGGACUGUCAGAGACAGCAGACUCGGAUACUCGGCUGUUCCAAGAUUCAACCGAGCCAAGGGCCUCCCGGGUGCCAUCUUCAGAUGAGGAGGUUGUAGAGGAGCCUCAGAGCCGCCGGACACGGAUGUCCUUGGGCACUAAAGGGCUGAAAGUCAACCUCUUUCCUGGCCUGAGCCCAUCAGCCUUGAAGGCCAAGCUACGCUCCCGGAACCGCUCAGCUGAGGAGGGGGAGGUGACAGAGAGCAAAUCAAGCCAGAAAGAGUCUUCCGUCCAGCGUUCUAAGUCCUGCAAGGUCCCAGGGCUAGGGAAGCCCCUUACAUUACCCCCAAAGCCAGAAAAAUCCUCAGGGUCAGAAGGAUCGUCGCCCAACUGGCUGCAAGCCCUGAAGCUAAAAAAGAAAAAGAUCUGAUCAGGGGCCAAGGUCCUUCCCAUCUGGCAGUCUCAGGCAGUGCCAUUCCUGUGGGGUCCCCAAGUGAGGAGACAGCUGGAGCCCCACCAGGGCUCAGACUGCAGCCUCCUUUCCCCUCCACUUCUGAGGAGUGUCUGGGAGGCACAUUUAUGCACUUUGUAUCACCGUCCCAACUUCUUGCACCCCUUCAGCCCCCAACUGGAUUCCCGUGCCCAGUGGUGGGAGGUCUUGUCCUUCCCUCAGUCUCUUCCCUUUACCCUCUUUGCUUCCAUCUUCUGCCUCCCUUGGGUUUUCUUUUGAUACCAAUUUAUAGCAUUUUUAUAAAAGCCUUUGAUUUUUGUAAUGGGUGGGCUCCCACCCCAAGCCCCACCCCAGGUCUCCCUCUGCCCCACUAGGUGCCCCACAGAGACCAAUGACAUUUUACCACUUGAAACAAUGAAUAAAGUUUUUUGGGAAUUGGG